GGAGGGCUGGUGGGCGUCAGAUUUACACGCCGGCAGCAGCAGGUUUCAUCCUGACCUCCGCGGCGCUGACGGAGACGGCUGCAUCGCUGAAGAGCUCUCUCAUCUCGGGAGAUGUCUUAGAUUCGGAUAAUAAGGAUUCGUCUCAUUAUAUAGCAGCUAAAUUUACUGCUGAGUUUCUGGGUUCACCAAUAAAAACAAUUAUGACUCAACAAGAAGGUCGAGUGAAGACAGGAGGCUUUGGGCUGCUAAGAGAUAUUUUGCAGAUGAUUUGUCUGGAUUCGCCAUAGAGGUCCAUCAGCCUGAGAUCCGGAACCUUGUGACAUGGACAGCGGUCGGGUCUGCAGGCUGUGUCCUGACACCUGGCUUACAGCUGGAGGUGUUCUUCAUGGUACUUUCUCACUGGCAGAGUUUAAAAAGGUAGCAGCAGCCCAGAGAGUCCAGCCGGCCUUGAUGCUGCACAUACACCAUGCUGGGCUGGCUGGAAGAUAUGCCCAGAGAAGAGAAAUGAGGGGAAAAUGUUUUUAAAAGUGAAAUCUUUCCAUUCUGGAGAUCUCAUUAACAUAGCUGAUAAAGCUUGUUCCUUAUACGCACCCGGGAGGAGCUGACAGGAUGAAGACAUCAACUCUGAUGCAUAAAGUCACACACACACAUAAACGCAUGUUAACACACAAACACACACACGCACGAAAUGCAAAUGCCGGAGAAACAGGCUGAUGCUGCCGCACACUGGUUUGUGGUCUGCCUCCCUUGUUUGCUGUGGGUUUGUUAGAACGGCUUUGCGGUUAAAUAGCUGAGAUGUUUUGAGUCUCUGAGGCACCGUUUCUGGACUGAGUAGAGAUCACCUCACUGACCUUAGAGCCAAGGGAUAGAGAGAAGCCUCCUGUGAGCAAAGUCUUCAGUUUUUGGGAAAAGCCAUCGGCUGUGCGUCUGCAUGCCUCAUUAAGGAAUCAUAUUUUGCGCGUUGCAUGAUGCCCCACUGGCUCCGCCUACUCGCCACCACGGAGAUGGAGGGCUGCUGCGUGCUUCUGCGUGUCUCUCUGCACAUUCCUUAUCUUUAUGGAAUGAGAAAAUGUUCAAAUAAAACCAUUUCCCCAGGA